rnacentral:lncRNA from 1 species
UUAUCUAUCUCUCCUUUCAAAAUAUCAAACCGAUGCCUUGUCCUUAUAUACGUGUGUGUGUGUAUGUGUGUGUGUGUGCGUGCGUGCGUAAUGUAUGCGUGCGCACAUGUGUAUAUAUAUAACGUUAGCUUCCGCCAAUUUCCCCCCACCUGUUUAGCGGAUUAGCGUUUGCGAAGCUAACUUUUUUAGUUAGCGGAUUAGUGGUUAGCGAAGUUAACCUUUUGGUUAGCUGUACCCACCACUGGCUGGCGCUCUUUGUUUUCAGAAAUAGACAAAGUAUCGGCAAUACUGUUUUCAUUUUUGCACAUCAAUCUACUCGCUCUGCACUAGCAUUUUACUCCGAUACUGAAAUUUUUAACCAAAUCGUAUUUCAGUCCAGCAAAUCUAUUCAGAUCAAGCUGUGCAGUCCUGUACCAAUCUUCCUAAAGUUACAUGUAUUGUGUUUCGUAUGCAGAUUAGCGACUGGUUUUGUAUUACCGUUGUCUGACGUAUGCUAUUUUACAAAUUUAAAAUCUUUGAGGGCCCUUCUGUAGCCAGUAAAGUAGGUUUUACUUGUGUGGUCUCUUAUAAAUUAUGGCUUGCGUAUGUAUAUUAACUCCUUUUUCCUUUAUAUUUCUUUCUUUAGGCUCUCACUAUUUAUCCUCACUCUUCACCGUUAUGAUGGUUUAUAGUUGUCGCAAGUUUUGUCUUAAACCAGACGUUUCUUUACUACAUUCUUUGACAUGCUACAUCUGAAAAGCUAUAACCUUUAUUUUUAUUUAUUUCAUCUUUUGUUUUGGUUCUUGUUAUUUGUUUAACACUUGACGUUUCAAUGUUUUACUUGUUUGUUGGAGUAUCAAUGAAAUAUGCUUUAUUUCAAUGAGAGGGACGGAAGGAUAUAUAUAUAUAUAUAUAUAUAUAUAUAUAUAUAUAUAAUGAGAGCUUAUAGGGAUAUAUUUAUUUCUUUAUUUAAUUUAUCGACCCCGAAAGGAUGAAAGGCAAAGUCGACCUCGGCGGUAUUUGAACUCAGAACGUAACGGCAGACGAAAUACUGUUAAGCAUUUCGCCCGGCGUGCUAAUGCUUCUGCCAGCUCGCCGCCCUUAUAGGGAUAUAUUAUCCCAGCGGAUACCGUGCUAUCUCUUAGUUAUGUUCCAGGUUACGGUUAACCGCAUCGAUUAGUCUAUGGGUACUAGUUAUCACUCACGCUGUAAAUUCCCCCGAUAAGUUCACAUCCAGUCGAGCUGGUCGAAGACCAUGAACGAAGCAGCGCAGAAAAUUAUACCUGGUUGCAUAUGCAACUGCUCAUACUGUGUGGAGUGGAAACACGUUUAGGCCGUCGUAACCAUAAGGGUAAAGACCCCCUUCGGUCAUGAAUGACCAUGGGAUUGCACCUAGAAAGUUACCCUCCCAGGCACAAGUCCGGGCAAGGUAGUUUAUGGAAGACCAGCAGUCGCCCAUGCAUACCAGCCUCCCCUACCACACCACUGAUGUUAUCCAAGGGAAAGACAAAGGUCGAUACAGCUUGGCACCAGUGAUGUCGCAACUCAUUUCUACAGUUGAGUGAACUGGAGCAACGUGAAAUAAAGUGCCUUGCUCAAGAACACAACACGCAGCCCGGUCCGGGAUUCGAGCUCACAACCUGACGAUCGUAAGCUCGACGCUCUAACCACUGAGCCAUAUGCUAUAUGACAUUGUAAUAUAAAAGGAAAUAAAUAUUGGGGAUGUACCAGUCUCCAUAUUCUCUAUCGUUAUAUUUCAGUAUAUAUCAGUGGUUCUCAGUCGGGGUCCACACGGAGUCUGCAUAAGAUUUUGCUGCUAGAAUUUAUGUGUAAUAAAUUGGUUCUACAAUACUCAAAAUAUUUUAGCAAUUUUAGCAAUUUAAUACAAUUCCUUAUAUUUGAUUAUAAAAAAAUAUAUGAUUUUUUAAUAUCAUCGAGUGACUAGGAAGGCCCACUGGCGUACAAUAGGACUCAAAGGGGUCCCUAGGUAAAAAAUGGUUAAGAAACACUGGUAUAUAUGCACAUGUGUGCGGGUGCGUAGUGUGCGCGCGCCGUAUGUGCGAAAGAGAUGAGCUGAUCUUGUUUAUGUGUAUAAAUAAAUCUAAAGUUAGUUUAUAUGUAGACAGUCCAUAAGGGACACGUGUGUAUUAAUACAUCUUCACGUGUUUGUUGCUGUACAUUAUUACUACAUUAUUAUUAUUAUUAUCCUAAAUAUCAUUAUAAUUAAUUCUAAAAUUAUUGACUUUCUACCGAAAUUUGAAACAAUUUUUAUUACCACCAUCGUUAUUAUUGUUAUUAUUAUUAUUAUUAUUAUUAUUAUUAUUAUUAUUAUUAUUAUUAUUAUUAUUAUGGUUUGGCCCAGGUUUGGUCUUACUCCUGGUAGGAUUUAUGUGGGUAGCGAGUUACUACUUGUAGCCUUAGGUAUCCACAAGUUUUCAACAGUCUUUCAAGUGCUUAGAACCCUCCCAAAAAUCCUUGCUGUCCCUAAGAGACAAACUUUCUGUAGGAGUUCUACCAGGCAUCCUAUUUCAAUCUCCUUCAGCCAUUUGUCUAUAUCUUGGCUUACUGGUCCCAACGCACUAAUUAUUAUAGGAAUGACCUUUUUUGUUCGCAUGCUCCAAAUUCUUUCUAUUUCAAAUUUUAAGGGAUUGUAUUUUCUUUGUUUUUAUUCCUCUUUCUUCACGAUCAUGGAAUCAAAUGGGCAUGAUGGAUCGAUAAGUUAGUAGCUUUGCUUUUUCUUAUCUAUAAUCGUUAUAUCUGGUCUAUUAUUCUCUAACUUUGGAUCUAGUCUUUCUCAUUAGCAAAAUGAGCCUCCCCCUUUAAUUUUGCUCAGAUUGCUUUCCAUUUUGGUGUGUUGAUGCAACUCUGAAUUUUGAUUACGAUCCACCAAUUACUUUAUCUCGUAAAUGAAAGAAUCUGAUGUCAUUUGGAAUUAAAGUUAGGAAAUUUGGGCAAUUUUCACUAAUCAACAGAUAGUGUGGAAUUAGCAGCUUGUUACCUUGACAACCGCACGCUGUAUUGUGGUUCGCUGUUGUCUGUGUCGCUGUUGUCUAUGUUAAUUUUCCCCACUUAAUUCUUCACACCACGAGAUUCUUUUCACCCGCAUGUUUUGUUUUAAUUUUUCUGUGUAUUAGUAUAUUACAUAUUUUUCUGUACUUCUGUGUGUUAGUAUUUUUCUGUGCUUUUUCUGUGUUAGCAUUUUUACAUAUUUUUCAUUUCAUAUAUAUUUGGGACAUAUUGACUCAGAUAGCUGGAGUUAUGAUUUCACAAGGUUAAUUGUACUCAUAAAAAAUUAAAUUAGGAGUAUUUAUUAAACCAUUAGCUUCACAUUUCAACAGCUUAACUGACAUUUAGCACACGUAACAGGAGCUGAGAGGGAUAUCGUGGAACAGAGAAACUAUGGGCGAUACAGAUAAUUUGACAUUACUUUUGAAUUCUGCGUGCAAAAACAUAUAAGAUACAGGUAUUCUUUUCCUUGGGACAAAUUUUUUGUUGACCAGUGUUAUUCUUAUCGAAGUUUACAAAUCCAAGCGUGAAAACCAUUACUCAACUUUGGAGUUUUGGAGACAGACCCCCUCCUUUUCACACACACACACACACACAAAAAACACACACACAUACACACACACACAUGCACUUACAUAUAUAUGACAUACACAAAUACAUGAUAGAUACACAUAAUACUGAAAUACGCAUUAAGUAAACACACGCAGACAAAUAUAUUAAUAUAUCGAAUUAAAAAUAAUAAUAAAAAAAUACAAUCAAUGAAGCGACAAAAGAAACAGUAAGAUGAUACAUGUUGAUUUUAUUAGGUAUUUCUGUUUAUUUAGAAACUUGCAAUGAACAGGUCAGACGCUAAACUAUAAAUUUCACAGGGUACAACACUAAAGUUGACACCGCUCCGCUCAACGCUGAAAAUUUCUAUCUCGCUAUUAGCUAUAAAUACACAGAUUUUUCGAAUUUUAAACCUCUGUAAUAUUUUUCUCCAAUUUGUUUCUCCACAACAUCAUACCUUCAAAGCAAUGAGACUGGAAGGCUACAUUAUUAUAGCUGAUUUUCAGAUUUUUUGCUUCCUUUUAAAAAAUGCACAUUUUGAGAAUGAAAAAAUAACUAGAUCCGUCUUGUUCACGCGCAAAACCCUCACAACACAUACUAACACACAUACAUUCACACAUUCUUUGUUCCGUCCUGUGUUGACCAUAAUGUUUUUCUUAAUAUAAACCUUGUGGUUAAUAAAGAAAUCAUCAAGGCGGCGAGCUGGCAGAAUCGUUAGUACGUCGGGUGAAAUGCUUAACGGCACUUCGAACUUUGACUUUCAUCCUUUCGGCGUCGGUGAAAUAAUUACCAGUUAAACACUAGAGUCGAUGUAAUCGACCCAUCCCCACCUCCCCCAAGCAGCCCUAGUGGCAAAAAUUUGAAAUAAUAAUAUAUUAUUAUUAUUAUUAUUAUUAUUAUUAUUAUUAUUCAGUAGUUUUAUUUUUAUAGCGUGCUUUCACUUCACUACCGAGCGCAGCUCUGUGUGCCUUGGGUAUGUGCUGUGAUUUGUUGUGAUGCUCUGAUGGUUAUUGUAUGGAAAGUGUCCUGCGUAGGAUGUGUGCAGUGCCUAGUAGUGCAAUUUUCUGUAUGUUAUAUGUGUUUGUAAGUCCUGGUGUUUUUGUUAUGUAUUUGUCUGAAUAUUUUUUUAUCAUGCCUAAUGCACCUACUAUGAUAGGAAUUGUUUCUGUUUUUAGAUUCCACAUUCUGGUUACCUCUAUUUCCAUUCUUCUUCUUCUUCUUCUUCUUCUUCUUCUUCUUCUUCUUCUUCUUCUUCUUCUUCUUCUUCUUCUUCUUCUUCUUCUUCUUCUUAUUAUUAUUAUUAUUAUUAUUAUUAUUAUUAUUAUUAUUAUUAAGGUGGCGAGCUGGCAGAAUCGUUAGCUCGCCAGAUAAAAUCCCAUUACGUUGUUAGUUCAAAUUCCACCGAGAUCAACUGUGCCUUUUAUAUUACCGGGGUCAAUGAAAUAAAUACCAAUCAAAUACUGGAUCAAUGUAAUCGACUUCUGCCUUGCCCUUCCUUCAAGAACUGUUGGCUCUGAGCGAAAAUUUGAAACUAUCAUUAUUAUUGUUGCAUUGAGUUCAAAUUCCGCCGAGGUCGACUUUACCUUUCAUCCUUUCGGAGUAGCUAAAUUAAGUACCAGUGAAACACUGCGGUCGAUGUAAUUGACUUAUCCACUCCCCCAAAACUUCUGCCCUUGUGGCAAAAUUUGAAACCAUUAUUGUUAUUGUUAUUGUUAUUUUUCCUUAUUAUGUAAUAUUCAACAGUAAUUACACGCAUAUACAUAUAUUCACUCACAUAUACAUAUGUGCACGCGCACGCUUUUAAUAUGCGUACACACACAACCAUUGUGUGUAAUGGUGUAAUGUGUGUGUAGGAAUACUUAUCUAAUAUAUGAAUGUGUAUAUUUACAUAUAUACAUACAAACGCAUACAUGUGUGUGUGCGUGCGUGCGUGCAUGCAUGCCUAUGUAUGUAUGUAUGUAUGUAUGUAUGUAUGUAUGUAUGUAUGUAUGUAUGUAUGUAUGUAUGUAUACUCUAUGCAGAGCCGCAUAUAUUUGUAAUGUCAAGCCAACCACGUGUAAUUUUACAUAUAUUUAUACAUAAGAAUGCAUGUGUACAUGUGUCUCAUUGAAUGUCUGUGUGAAUAUAUAUAUAAACAUGGUUAUUUAUAACUAUGUAUGUAACUAAAUAGGGGAUGGCUGUAUAUAUUAUGAACGCGUGUAUGCGUGCGUGCAUGCGUAAAAAUGUGUGUAUGUCGGUAUAUGUGUGUAGAUAAGAAUGUGUGUAGGUGUAAAUGUGUGACAGUAGACGACAGUAAAGCGAAUCGGAGAGAUUAAUGCCCGAAGGACGACGGCACAGAAUGGAAAACUAUUAAACAUUGUCGAAAUCAAGAAAGCUGAAUGGAGGAAGUUUAUUCACAAUAAUUGUUAUGCCAGAAAAGAGGGCUAUGUAUGGGGUAGGGCCCCUAAUUACACCCACACAAUAGUCACGGGGCCUUGGUGGGCGCCGUAUUGUUAUUAGAGGCGUCAGAUUGGAACUACAGUUAAAACAUUGCCUCUCAUUUGAAAGGAAGACGGUUCGUUCCCUGUUGGAAACUAAAAUGUCGGUUAUUCUAUUCGAUACGGGAAGUACAAGGACGAGUUUUUAGGAGCAUUUAGUCAGGGUUCAAUAAAAAUUAAAACAAAAUGGAUUAGGGCUUUUUGGCGUGUGUUAAAAUCAUAUCUGGUAAACGAAGAGGACAUUGACAGAGUGGGGCGACUGGGACAGGGUGGGAUAGGUGGUGGUCCUUUCUAUAAUAUUAAGAGACGGUUGUUGUUGUUUUAUUCUUAUUUAAACCCUGAUCAACUUUGAUCAAAAGCCUUCAAGCCGUGACAAUCCCAAUAAUUUAAAAUAUGUAAUAUUACGUUAUUCAAUGAGCACUUCCUUGUUUAAGUUGGUGGGGUGGUUCUCUUUUAAUUUGUGGGAAAUACAAGCUGUUAUUUCUAGAAGUAGCUCCGUCGUUGCCUCGGUUGAAAACUAAUGUAAAAAGGGAGCCGUAUUUAGGUAUUUCAAAUAUUCAGAGUUAUUCUAAUAAAUCAUUCUUAAUUCACACGUUUCUAGAUAUUCUACUAGCGGGUUAUUAUUAACUUCAUACGAAAGUCCCUCGACAAACAUCAAAUGGAAAGUAUACGUAUUUCGCUGAAUCCUGGUGUGGUCCUUUGUGUGAGGGGAGGAGAGGUGCAUGCGCAUGUGUUUAUGAAUGAGUGAGUGAACAACAGAAACCUGGAGAAUUCCGCAAUAACAAAAAAGCUACACGCUACGAUGUGAAGAACAAAAAUAACAGAAACAGUCUCCCAAUGUUGUGGAAAGGACCACCACCACCACCUACUCCAGCCUGGUGUUAUAUCUGAUUCUACGGAAAAGUGAGUUCACUACUGUGCAACACUUUAUUCACUCAGAGCAAAUUCAUGCACGGGAACUUUUUGGGGCUCGAAACUUUGCACGGAUUUACUUAGUUUAUGAAGUCAGGAGUUAACCUCCACCAUAUAUAUAUAUAUAUAUAUAUAUAUAUAUAUAUAUAUAUAUAUAUAUCCUUUAUCUUUACUUGUUUCAGCCAUUAGACUGCGGCCAUGCUAAUGUACCAUCUUCAAGGAUUUUAGGUGAAUGAAUCUACUCCAGUACAUUCACUCCCCAACUGCAUGUCUCCAUUUAAUUUUCAAUCUAUUAGAAUUUCAGACCUCUUUCGCUUGACUUUAUUGACAACAACUGUCGUUAACACUUUUGAUUGUUUUGUUUUUUUCUCUAUACACAUUCAAUCUCAAUUAUUAAGGUUUUUUUUUCUAUUUUCGCUACAUUUUAUUCGGUCGUAUAUUCAGAUUCCCCAUCAGUCUUAUAACUGUUGUCAGGUUAAUCAUGAUUAAACUGGAUCAUGAUCAAAUACUCUCAAGCGGUGACCAUCCCAUCUUGGCAAGCAGCGUUCACCUAAUGCUACAUUGUUGCAGUAAUACAGUAUCUAGGACUAGAUUAAUCAUUAUUUUUUUUUAUAUUUAAGAUAUUAGGCCGUUGAAAGAUUUAGUUAUAAUUUCUAGCAUGUCAAGCGACACCUAUGGGUUGCGUCAUUGGUUCGUUCAUUGGUCAAAAUUUUCUAUUGGUGUUUUGCCUGUUUGCAUUGCCUUAGGCCCUCCGUAUUUGAUGGACCCCCAUUCCGCUAUAAGUCUGAUCGCUGCUGAUUUCUCCCAUAAAAAUAUUAAACAAAGAAAAAGAAAGAAAAGCUGUGUUUGGGAAGAAGAACCAGCCCUUGUAACUAAACUGGUUCUUCGUUUAUCGAUUUUUACGAGGAAAAAAUACAAAGUGGACUUCGGUGCGAUUUGAACUCGGAGCGCCGAAGGCCUGAACGAAUGUUGCAAGACAUUUAUGGCAACUCCUCCACAUUACUGUCUUGAGUCCCAGUAUUCAUAGUGAUCAGUUAUUCAGUUUCUAUGGCAUAUAAGCGACCGAGAUCUCAACAUUUCCCAGGGGAAGCCAGCGGAAUAAUGUGCGUUGCUCAAGAACACAACAUACCUAUUUCUUUAUUACCUACAAGGGGCUAAACUCAGAGGGGACAAACAAGGACAGACACACGGAUUAAGUCGAUUACAUCGACUCCAGUGCGUAACUGGUACUUAUUUAAUCGACCCCGUAAAGAUGAAAGGUAAAGUCGAUCUCGGCGGAAUUUGAACUCAGAACGUAGCGGCAGACGAAAUACAGCUAAGCAUUUCGCCCGGCGUGUUAACGUUUCUGCCAGCUCGCCGCCUUAGAACACAACUUCACGAGUCUUCACAAGACAUUCUAUACGACGCACUAUUUUAUCAGUUGUUCACCAUCCUGCUUCGUCCAAUCCACUUAAUUCCAUUCUGUCUCAGCCAGUCAAGUUAUUUCUAAGAAAGUUGCUGCUAAGAUCUAGCAAUCCCAACCAGAGAGGAAUUUGCCUAUCAUUUGCUACCCUCCAUGUACAGAGACCAAUUUUGAAUACUUGCCACUGGGGAAAACAUCAACCUAAAAUAUGCGGAUAAAUUAAUAAAUGAUUUAAAUACUGUCUCAGCUUCAGUGUUAUUGUAUGUUCUAUCAUCAUCUUCAGACAGGAAUCAGUUUGCUUCGAUAAUUAGACAGUGUCGAGUUGAAAAACAAUCCUUAUGCUAGACUGACCUGCGGUAUUUAACGUUGGCAGUAGGUCUUUAACCAAGGUGAAGGGGUUCUUCUCGCCAUCAAUGAGAAGACUCAACCAUUCGUUCGACGGCAAAAAAAAAAAAGUGAAAAAAAAAAGGUAAAAGAAAAACUAACAACAAAUAAGAGGAAAAAAUCUUCACAUAAGUAUUUCAGUCUUUUCUUCAGAUGAUGGAAUAAUAAUGGGUUGGUGACCAAGCUAUAUUUUAGGAUCUGUCAACCUGUCAUAGUAGCUACCGGCAGUAUAAUUUACCUGCAAUUAUCACUCAUACUCUCUUAGAAUGGUGAGUUCACCGCAUUUCUGGAACUGGUAAUCCGACAUAAUUUCGUACAUGCUCCACAUUGCCGUUAGCAGCUAUAAAUAUAGGGGACUGCAUAACUGUAUCAGAGAGUGAGUCUGUGUCGAGGUGUGUAUGUCUAUUUGUUAAAGGAACUGCACGUCUGCGUGAGGGAGUGUAUAUGGAUAGGGUGUGUGUGUGUGUAUUUGUUAAAGGAAUUUACGUAAUUAAUGCAUUUGUGUAUAUUCUUAUUUUCAAUAAAUUAUAUAUACAUGUAUAUAAUUAUAUAUAUGUGGGAGUGGCUGCAUAAAUACGUGUACUUGUAUGUAAAUAUGUCGCUGCAUGUGUUUCUAAGCGUGUACGUAUAUAUGUGUAUGCAUAUAUACAUGCAUGUGUUAUAUAUAUAUAUAUAUAUAUAUAUUAUAUGUGUGUAUGUGCAUAUGUAUAUAUGUAUAUAUAUGUGUGUGUGUAUGUAUGUAUGUGUUGUAUAUAUAUAUAUUAUAUGUGUGUAUGUGCAUAUGUAUAUAUGUAUAUAUAUGUGUAUGUGUAUGUAUGUAUGUAUGUAUGUAUGUAUGUAUGUAUGUAUGUAUGUAUGCAUGUAUAAAACUUACUUGGAAAUGGAUGCGUAUAUACAUAUAUACACACAUACAUGUACAUGCCACAUAUGUAUGUAUAUAUACAUACAUGCAUAUAUGGGUACAGGACGUCAAAAAACGUGAACAAAAUAUAUAUAUGUGUCUGUGUGUGAUUUUUCAUGCACACAGACAUACUUGUGCGUGUAUAUCUGCAUAUAUAUAUAUAUAUAUAUAUAUAUAUAUACAUGAAUAUUAUAAAUAUUCAUAUACACACGCAUAUUUAUAGCUAUAAAUGUGUGGCAUAUUUAUAUCUAUGCACAUGUAUAUUGCAUGAAUUUAUGCAUGUAUAUAUUAUAUUGCAUCAAUAAACCUUUAUAUUCCAUAUGCAUCUUCAGUCCGCAGACUUCAUAAAUAAUUCUUAUAUAUAUUACGAUUCCCAAGCAUGUGUCUAUAUUUUUUCUUUUAUUGUUUUAUUAAUUAUUUUUAAUGAAACAACACACAUACACGCGCACUAUUUUUUUUUGUUUUUUUACAUGACUACGUGCGUAUACGUGUGUAUGUAAUAUAUCUGGAUGUGCGUGUGCGUCUUUGUGCAACAAACGUGUGAAGAUGUAUGCUCACGUGUGCGUGUGUAUAGACUAUAGAUAUUCGUAAAUAGAUCAAUGUAUGUAUGUAUGUGUAUGUAUGUAUGAGUGUGUCUAUAUCUAUGUGCAUCUAUAAAUGUGCGCAUGUGUGUCUAUUUUUUUUUUCAUUUUUCGUUUACUCUCUUUACUCUUUUACUUGUUUCAGUCAUUUGACUGCGGCCAUGCUGGAGCACCGCCUUUAAUCGAGCAAUUCGACCCUGGAACUUAUUCUUUUGUAGGCCCAGUACUUAUUCUAUCGGUCUCUUUUGCCGAACCGCUAAGUAACGAGGACAUAAACACACCAGCAUCGGUAGUCAAGCAAUGCUAGGGGGACAAACACAGACACACAAACACACACACGCAUAUAUAUACAUAUAUACGCAUAUAUAUAUAUAUAUAUAUAUAUAUAUAUAUAUAUAUAUAUAUAUACACACAUAUAUACGUUUGUUUUUCUCCUUUUUUUUUCAAUCCAAGCAGCUAUUGAACGUGUUCCAGAAUAUAAGGAAAGACCUGUUGAAAGAAUAAUUCUGACGAUUUUACAAUAUGUGGCGGAGGAUAGCAGUGUCUAGAUGGGACAGUUAUAAGAUUAAUAACAUUUUAAGAAUUUAUUUGUUUACAAGGAUUUCAGUUCAUCCGAUCAACGGAAGAGCCGGCUAGUGAAUUUAAAGUUUAAAGUGGCUGAGCACUCCGCAGACACGUGUACCCAUAACGUAGUUCUCAUGGAGAUUGAGAAUGCGAUAAGAAUGGUCCUUUGAAUUUAAGAUGCAACUUACUUUUGCCAGCCGAGUGGACUGGAGCAAAGUGAAAUAAAGUGUCGUGCUGAAGGACACAACGUGUCCCCGAGUAUCGAACUCACGAUCGUACGAUCCUGAGCGGAAUUCUCCAAACCACUAAGCCACGCACCUUCACAAUACAUAAUUAUUUACAUCAACGUGUAUACACGUACUCAUAGAUAUACUAACAAGCAUGACGCUGUAUAAUUGUGUACACGUGCUUUUUACACACAUACAUGCACAGGCAUGCAUACGUUACAUGUACUCUUUUACUUGUUUCAGUCAUUUGACUGCGGCCAUGCUGAAGCACCGCCUUUAAUCGAGCAACUCGACCCCCUUUUUGUAAGCCCAGUACUUAUUCUAUCGGUCCCUUUUGCUGAACCGCUAAGUUACGGGGACGUAAACACACCAGCAUCGGUUGUCAAGCAAUGCUAGGGGGACAAACACAGACACACAAACACACACACAUACAUAUAUAUAUAUAUAUACAUAUAUACGACAGGCUUCUUUCAGUUUCCGUCUACCAAAUCCACUCACAAGGCAUUGGCCGGCCCGGGGCUAUAGCAGAAGACACUUGCCCAAGAUGCGGUUGGUUAGCAAGCUACUUACCACACAGCCACUCCUGCGCCUAUGUUGUAUGUAUGCGUGCGUAUGUUUGUAUGCGUGUAUGUAUGACUGUGUAGUAAGAAGUUUGCUUCCUAACCAUUUGGUUUCGGGUUCAGUCACAAUGCGAGUCACCAAGUCAAUGUGUGGGUGGAUUUGGUAGAUAGAAACUGAAAGGAGCCCACCACAUAUAAGUGUAUGUGUGCUCUCGCGCUUACACGUGUGUGUUGUCCCCACUGCUGCUUGACAACCGGUGUUAGUGUCUUUACGUUCCCGUAACCAAACGGUUCGGCAAAAAGAGAUCGAUAGAAUAAGUACCAGGCCUCAAAAAGGUACCGGGGUCGAAGCGUUGUCCCAGCAUGGCCGCAGUCAAACGAGUGAACGACAACGAUAAUGUGUGUGUGUGUUGUGUGUGUGCGUGCGUGUGAGUAUGUAUAUAUAUAUAUAUAUAUAUAUAUAUAUAUAUAUAUAUAUAUACGUGUAUGCGCACACAGUGUGAAGAAAUCCUAAAUACAACUUAUAUAUUAACCUUUACAGAUAUGUGGGAAUAGAUGAGAUUAUUAAGCAUCGGACAAGAUAUCUGCUCCGGCUUUGCAUAAUCGUAGUUCGAAACCCUCACACAGCCAUCGAUGUAUGAAGACAUUUCUAACAAUCGAUGCAACAAUAAGUAUCAGCAGUUUGAAAACAAAUGGAAACGGUUCAAUUGGAAGACUGACUGCCACUAAAGAAACACUCACACACACGCACACACACAUAGAUGGCCUGCCCCCUCUUUUGUUAUUCACCAAUAUAUUAUAUUUAAAGACAACUUUACAUACAGUAUUGGUUAAAAAUCUAUAGCUAUAUUUUGUAAGUAACUGUGUAGCGUAUUUUAUAUCGAAGGGAUGGAGGGGGGAAACAAGCUGUUAAAAUUUUCCAAAACGUGGAAUGAAACGAACUUUUCCGAAGGAAGUUUUCGAAUUAAGUUUUACUCCAUAACACGUGUGUUUGAAAAGCUGUAAACAGUGAAAGUGCAUAAACACAAUGCUAACUUCCUUCUGAAAGGUUUGUAUCAUUCUGGGGGCAUUUUUUUUUUUUAGUUUUUGAUUUCUUUUUAUUUACUCAAUAAUUUUUAAUGUAAGAGAAAAAAUCUUUCUUCAGCUAUAAAGUAUUCUUAGCAAAAACUUUUUUAAAUAGAGAGAGGAAGGGGAGAGGUAGAUAGAUAGAUAGAUAUCUACGUACAAACUCAAUACACACACAUGUAUAGAAUAUAUGUAUAUAUAUGAUGUAUAUACUUUAUCAAUAUGUUUGUACGUGCACACGUUAUUUAUAUAUUGCUGUACAUGUUCCAUAUGUAUGCACGUAUGUAUGUACGUACGUAUGUAUGUAUGUUCGUAUGUAUGUAUCACUAAGAGCCUACAUUUUCUGUUUGUCUAGUGGAUCUCAGCAUCAUAUUAGUGGAGUUUAUUUUAAUUACUCGUCACCCUACAAAAACAAGUUGGCAAUCUUAGUUGUUACUCAUUAAAAAUAUGAAGCGGGGGAGGGCGAGUCUGUAGACAUAUCGUAUAUUCAUAUUUGAGAGUCUGUAAUGAUGUAAUUCUAUAUCCAUAUGUCUUAUGAUGAUAUACAUGUACUACAUGUGUAUGUGUGUGUGUGUGUGUGUGUGUGUGUGUGUGUGCCUGUCUGCAUGUCACUGUGUGUGUAUUUAUGUAUGUGUUUAUAUGUGUGCUUGUUGUAGAGAAUGUAAUGUGUUUCGGUUACAGAUAGAUCAAAAGAUAAAUAGUUAAUAUAAAAUUGAACUUAGAAUUUUUUUUUUUUAUCUAGGAUCAAGUCUAGUAAGGUACAACGUUACGCCGUACCCCACAUCUCACUCACUCACGCGCGCGCGUGUUGUAAGUAUGUAUAUAUAUAUAUAUAUAUAUAUAUAUAUAUAUAUAUACAUGUGUGUGUGUGUGUGUGUGUUUAUUAGCCACAUAGGGCUGCACACAGACGGGACAGAUUAAAAAGUAGAGCUUUUCUUUUUGGGGAGAAAAAAAAGUGGGAUAGGUUUUCGAUCAAAAGGGAUCGUAAAAGGAAAAAAAAAAAAAAAAACUAAAAACAAGAAAAAAGAAAAAAAACGAUCAAUGGGAAUCGUGUAUCACAGAAAUGUCAUGAUGUAAAGUGUAAAGGGGGGAAGCAGAUAAGGUUUAUCCGUGGAAGGAAAAGCCUACGGAAAAGACCACGGUAACUUCUAGCACGCCGGGAGACAGUGUAGAGAUUGCAUGGUAUUACUCCGUAUGAAGCUUGGACCAGACCUGUGAGUCGAUAAUACAGAAUAGAGAUAGUUCAGUUUAUUUCAUGCUACUAAAGAAACAGUAAGAUGAUACAUGUUGAAUUUAUUAGGUACUGGCAGUAUCGCCCGGCGUUGCUCGGGUUUGUAAGGGAAAUAACUAUAUAAGCAUUUUUAGAGAUGUACAGUAUAAUAUCUCAAUAUGGCUAACCACAAAGGGGGUGGUGGUGUUACUGUAGCUUUUUACGUUCUGAGAUUUAAUAAAUUUUUAGAGAGUUACUUCCCUUAUAUAUACCAAAAAUGCAUUAAAAAUGGGAAAAAUUGAAGGUAAUUUUUUUUUAAAAUCGUAGACUCAUCGUAGACGCGCGCUAAUACCCAGAAGGGCUCGAUAUAAAUCACGACUAUAAGAUACCCGGUUUUGGUUAAACUGCACCGCAAAAUGUGGGAGUAGUUAGGAAUCUAAAUCGCAGGAGACAGACAGCACACAACCUCACUUUUAUAUAUAAAGAUUUCUGUUCAUUUAGAAACUUGCAAUGAAAAGACGCUAAACUAUAAAUUACACAGCUACAACCUUAAAGUUGACACCGCUCCGCUCAACGCAGAACGUUUCUGUCUCGCUGUUGGCUAUAAAUACACAGUUUUCUCGAUUUUAAAACCUCUGUAAUAUUUUCCCCCAAUUUUUUUCUCCGCAACAUCAUACCUUCAUAGCAAUUAGACUGGAAAACUUUAUCAUUAUAGCCAAUUUUCAGAUUUUUUUUUACUUUUAAAAAGUGCAUAUUUUGCCAAUGUAAAGAACGAGAUCCCUUUUUUUCUAGCAACGUCGGUGUUUAGACAACCGUAGUCGUUUGGUGACAAUUAUAUUUUUCCUUUAUGGUAUCGCAUUGCGUAUGGGUGUUUAUAUUAAUUUUCGUGCACGCGCACGCGCGUGUGUGUAUAAAUACCAACUUGUUACCAGUUCAAAUAUUCUUGAGGUAUAUUUGUACCGUAAGAAAGUCAGUCAACGUAUUUUGUCAUGAGUUUAACAUAACCUCGAAUAAAUAAUUUCGUGAUAUAGAGAGAGCUGUUAGUGUACAGAAAAAAUUAAAUAAUUCCCCAUCGGGUCUAAUAAUGAAUGUCUAUUCUGGCGAUUUAAAAAAAAUAUUGAAUUUCAAAUUGGCCAUUUUAAAGUAAUUUCAAUAAACUAAUCAAACUUUAAAUGUACUAACGAAAUAUAAUUGUUAAAAAAAAAAAAAUUUGUCUAUCUCUUUAAAUUUCUAUUUCAUCUCAAAUUACAACCCCAGUUUUUCAAAUAUUAACUUCCGGAUUCUUUAUCCGAUUUCAACUGAUGAAAGUUUCAGUUUCCACAAAAUACAAACUCUCAGAAAAAAGCCAUAUGAGACUAACUUGGACGAAUUACGUUACUGAAAAAUAUCGCAGUUUGAUAAAUUUAUAAUUUUAGCCUCAAAAUUUUCCUUUAGCCAAAUAGUGGUCUGUAUAUGCUUUCCAUGUGUGUGUGUAUGUAUGUGUAUGUGUGUGUGUGUGUGUGUGUGUGUGUGGGUGCGUGUGUGUGUGUGCUUUUCUCCGGACUAUCUGCUUCGGACUCUCUGCUCCGUCCGCCUUUUCCUCUUUCCUGGACUUCUUCCUCUAUCCGACUUAGAGCCAUGCUCGAAACAUUUUUUCAUCUGAAACUUUCACUGAGCGUUAAUCUGAUAUAUUCACUGUGUUCGUCCAAUUUACUUUUGUUGUUCUUUUCUUUCUGUUUUUUAUUGCCUAUGUAGAUAUAUAUACCCCCCCCCACAUACAUAUAUAUAUAUAUAUACUAGCAAACGUACCCGGUAAUUCUCGGGGAAGCGGUGUAUGCGUGCGUGAAAGUCUUUGAUGUUUCGAGCCUACUCUUUCCUACAGAAAGAAAUAAGGAAAGAAAACACAGAGAGAGGGAGAGGAAAGAAACUGGAGAGUGAAAAGAAUUAUGUAUAUAUAUAUAUAUAUAUAUAUAUAUAAAUGUAUGUGUGCAUGUAUGUAUGUAUAUAUAUAUGUGGAAAUCCUGGGUGUGUUUGUUUGUGGCGUUGUUAUCUAACUACUACAUCGUUUUAUCGAUUUCGAUGAAACUUGAUACGUGAGUAGAACUCAUGUCUGGAAAACUAGUGACAUACUUAAAUUGUUGAAAAAAAUCGAUAAUAGGGCUCCUGGAAGGGAUUUGUUAUAUAUCUACAACAUAUAACUAAUAUAUAUUUUUAAACAUCCGAGGGAAAUAACUCAUUCAUGUUCGUAAUUUAUUUCGUAUAAAUCAAAUUGAGUGUGCUUAUUUCUUAAUAUUUGAACUAUUUAAGUUAUUUUCGCAAUUUAUCCAGUACAACGCUUAAACAAGUAAAUAGUAUUUUCCUAAACAAUAAAACCACUUAUUUCGGUUACUGACUUAUUCACAAAUAUACCAACACUAGCACCGCUGAGGGUAAUAUUAUCUGUGAACGCACAAAAGCUUUUUUCAGAAUUAUUUACUUUGAAUUAUUAUUAUCUCAUAUCUGAUUAGUCUGUUAUUACGUAACAUGCUUCACAAUUUUAGUAUAAUACCUUAUUAGUAUUUCCUCUUAAGUUCUAUAUGCUCUGGGAACGCAUUAAAGGGGCUACUUCAUUUGAAUUAAUUUCAUGUUAUAACAUAACUGACUUCACAAUUUGGGUAUACAUAACUUAUUAGGAAUUCCUAAAAACAAGAUCCUGUGUAAAACAGUUCGGUAUUCUCAAUAAAUGCUCAAAAACCGUUUUAAGGGCAACAUAUUUUUGUAUUGUUGUUACCGGAUUAGCGAAACAAUUAUAGAGCGGAAACGUCAAAGACACUAAUUUUUCCUGAGCGUCAAAUUAAUAUACCUUGUUUGUCAUUCUUUCACCUGACUCUACCUUCUAUGUUUUAUGUUUUAACAACUUUUACCCAUACGCACGCACACGCAUACAUACACACACUUUGAUUGGUGGAUGAGUAUGUUUUAGAAUAUUUCAGUUUUCAUUUAUUUCUUCUUUACUCUUUUUAAUUUUCUUAUAACUAUGCUAAGGUAUUGUUAUUUGGAAACAUAUUUGCCUUUACUUGCAUUCCAUCCCUGAAUUUCUUGUAUCCAUAUUCCCUCAAGUCACAUUCAAAGACGGUAUAUAGUCAGAAAUGGUGACAGAAAUGGUAACCAAUGUCUGUACUUCGUGCCUGCUCUUUUUCCUAUCAUUGAUACAUUUUUUAACCAUUUGCAUCACUCACUACCCAAUAUUUAGUAGAAUAAUUCCCACUCUCUCUCUCUCUUUUUCUCUCUCCCUCUCUCUCUCCCUCCCCUCUCUCCAGUGUCUUCUCAGUGUCUGCAUUGAAACAGAAUUCAAACUUGGAAGUGUUAUAAAAUUACUGCUUGGAAGACACCAGAUAAUUCAUCUCCGAAGUCUUAACUUGAACAAUCAACAUGCACAUAAAAGCUAUUGAUACGCUAGAUGUUAUAAUUGUUGGCUAGAAAUGAUUUUGUUCAAACAUUCAUGAGUUCGUUCGUCCAUGCUUUCAAUUUUGUUAUUUUCUCUCCAUAUUAACAAAUACCGUCAAGUAUUCGGAACCACCAGAAUCAUUAAUAAUAAGCGUUAUAAGGUUAAAUGUCGUACAAAGACGCUAAUAAACCGUGGAGUAUGGAAAAAUAAGAAUAAUAAUGAGGCUUAUUAAUAGCAACAUACCGCAAGAUGAAGCGCUUCUCCAUAUUCAAAUAUAUUUUAAAUUCAAUUCUAGCUAGUGCACCUUCAUGUUAGUUUUGAUUAUAAAUAAAGAAACGGCCAUUACAACGAUCCCGCUUCAAUUCCCAAGUGAAGGUUAUUUACACUCCAUUUUUACUACAACCACAACGGUUGCUGCUGCUACGACUCCUGCUGCUAUCGUUGUGCUGUUGAUGAAAGCAAAUACAUUGCCAAUUCCCAUUACACCUCCAGUAUUAAUCCAGGACUUUAUCUCCUAAAUCCUUGCUACGACUGUAUAGCUAAUCGCCAUAUUACGUUGAAGCACACUUUACUGCAGUUUAUAUUUAUAUACUUAGAUCUCUGUUCCAAGUUCAUAUUUCCCUCGAGUAUAGAAUAUUUGCCUUUCAUCUACGAAGUCGCUAAAACAACUAUCUGCAGUCAAUUCUAUACUACCCCACCACCACCACCAUCACCAUCUCCACCACCGCAUUAACCUCUUAUAAAUGUCACCAAUGUAAUUUAAUGAAGCUAAAAUACAUAAUGUUGGUUUCAAGAUUUGGCACACGGCCAGACGUUCGUGGGAAGGGGCUACUCGAUUACAUCGACCCCAUUUCUCAAUUGGUACUUACUUUAUCAACCCCGAAAGGAUGAAAAAGCAAAGUCGACCUCGGCGGAAUGUGAACUCAGAACGUAAAGACAUACGAAACACCAUUGAGCACUAUUCGGUGUGCUAAUGACUCAGCCAGCUUGCCGGCUUACUGUUCGAUAUUGGUUUCAAAUUUUCGUACAAGGGGGGAAGAGAUGGGUUGGUUACAUUGACCCCCAGUCAGUAUUCAACUGGUACUUAUUCUGUUACUUUAAUAUCACCGUUGUUGUUGCUAGACAUAAUAAUACAACACUGCAACAAACCCAAUACAAGUAAAGUCUGUAUUUUCCUUUGAAAAAGUCGAGUUUUGUUCUGCCUUCCUCUGAAAAGAUCUUUUGGUCAGGAUUAGAAUGUGACACAAAUGAAUUCGAUCGAUCAUUGAUCCAACCGAUAGUAAUGUCUAUCACAGUGACUGAUAAUGGAUGUCCAGUAAAGUGGAUAUUCAUGUGUGUCUCUGUCUGUGUGUCUACAACUGUAUGGAUUUAAUUGACUUGUUACUCAUUAAACUUUCGGUAACAGCCAUGUGGUUGUUCUUGACAUCAACGAAGACACCGUUCAUUUUUACCAAUGGAAUUAUUUCGUUGUUACCCACCUGUGAAACCCAUGCGAAUAUAUGAUCACAGAAUCCCCACAUAUUGCUAAUUCUGGUGAACUCUGAUAUUUGGUUACGUGCCCCACAAUCGGCAAUAGAUAGAGAGAGAGAGAGAGAGAGAGAGAGAUACAGAGAGAGGGGGAGAGAGAGAGGUGAGGGGGGAAACUGAGUGACAAGCAGGCAUACGGAUAGAUAGAUAGAUAGAUAGAUAGAUAGAUAGAAAGAAAAAAGAAAGAUAGAUAGAUAGAUAGAGAGAGAGAGAGUGAGUGAGAGAUAGAUAGAUAGAUAUAUGCAAGGGUGUGAGCAAGAGAGAGAGGUGAAGAGAGAGUUACUGCUGUUGUAUUAUCUUUGCUAAAAACUGUUAAUUAGCAUGUAAAUAAAAUUGAUAGAGGCACCAUCAACUGGCGGAGAACAAAAUUAGAUUCACCCCACCCCUUCUCUCACCAUCUCUCCCUCUCUCUCUUUCUCUAUGGAAAAUGCUCUACUUUCAAAUAUGCUGCUUCGACAAUACAUAUACUAAAACUGGAACGAUACAGAGAUAUUAGCAUGGGCCUUUGCGCAAGGUCGACGCAAAAAUUCGUGAAGUGGUCCAUAAUUUUCAAAGACGGCGACCUGGUAGAAUCAUGAGAACGCCGGACAAAAUGCUUAGCGGAAUUUCAUACGUCUUUGCGUUCUUAGUUGAAAUUCCGUCGAGGUCGACUUUGCCUUUCGAAGUGGAUAAAAUAAUUACCAGUUCUAUGUAAUGGGAUUCUUCUAUUUUAGUUUUCAUCCGUGUCUCUCUCUCUCCCCUUCUUACUCUCCUUCCCUCCCUCUCUCUCUCUCCUAUUCUUAUACCUUCUACCCACUCUUUAUUCUCUCUCUCUCUUGCCUUUUACACAUGGCCGCACAAGCUGACACAUGCGAACACACACGUACAAUCACAAACACAUUCUCUCCUUCAUUUCUUUCUCUCUUUAUUUCGUCUGCCGCUACGUUCUGAGUUCAAAUUCCGCCGAGGUCGACUUUGCCUUUCAUCCUUUCGGGGUCGAUAAAUAAAGUACCAGUUACGCACUGGGGUUGAUAUAAUCGACUCAAUCCCUUUGUCUGUCCCUGUUUGUCCCCUCUAUGUUUAGCCCCUUGUGGGCAAUAAAGAAAUAUAUUCAUUUCUUUCUCUCUCUUUCACUCUCUCUUUCUCACACCCUGUCUUUCUUACUUUCUCUCUCUCGCUCUCUCGCCCCCCUUUCUCUCUCUCUCACUAUCUCUUUCCCUCUAUCUCGCCCCCUCUCUUUCGUUUGAGAAGCAGGAGGUGGGAAAACAAGGAGGGAUUGGCGUGAAAUUCAGUGUGUGGUAUGAGUUACAUAGGGAGCUGGUGUUGUAUGAGAUUACUGCAGUAAAGUUUGUUGUUGUUGGAUUUGACCAAUCGUUUUGCUUUAUGAAAAUAGUUUAUUUGGGGUUGCAUGUGUGCGAGUGACUAGAUUGAUAGGUAACUAGACAAACAGAUAGAUACAAAGCCCGAAAUUAUGGGGGAGGGGGCCAGUCGAUUAGAUCAACUCCAGGGAUCUAGUCUUUUUCAUUCGCAAAAUGAGCACGCCCCCUCUAAUUUUGCUCAGAUUGCUUUCAAUUUUGGUGUAUCAAUGCAAUUCUGAAUUUUGAUUACGACCAACCAAUCACACAAAUUAUCACACAAAUUAAGGAAUCUGAUGUUAUUUAGAUUUAAAGUUGGGAAAUUUGGGUUUUUAGCCAAUCAACGGACAGCGUGGUAUUAGCAGCUUGUCACCAUGACAACCGCUCGCUGUGUUGUGGUUCACUGUUGUCUAUGUUGAUUUUUCACACUUAGUAUUUUUACAUAUUUUUCAUUUGAUAUAGUUUGGGGACUCAUUGACUCAGCUAACUGGAUUUAUGAUUUCACUAGGUUUAUUUCUGUUCAUAAAAAUUUUAAUUCGGGGUAUUUCUUAAACCGUUAGCUUCACAUUUCAACAGCUUAACUAAAAUUUAGCACACGUAACAGAAACUGAGAGGGAUAUCGUGGAACAGAGAAACUGUGGGUGAUACAGAUAAUUUGACAUUACUUUUGAAUUCUAUAUGCAAAAACAUAUAAGAUACAGGUAUUCUUUUCCUUGGGACGAAUUCUUUGUUGACCAGUGUUAUUCUUAUCGUAGCUUACAAAUCCAACCAUAGAAACGUUACUCACCUUUGGAGUUUUGGAGAUAGACGCCCCCUUUUCACAUACACACACAUGCACUUAUGUACUAAUGAUGUACAUAAAUACAUGGCAGGUAUAUUUAAUACUAAAGUACGCAUAAAGUAAACACAUGCAGACAAAUAUAUUAAUAUAACAAAUUUAAAAUAAUAAUUAAAAAAACAAUCAAUGAAGAGACAAAAGAAACCUACAAUGAAUAGGUCAGACGCUAAACUAUAAAUUUCACAGGGUACAACAGUAAAAUUGACAUGGUUCCGCUAAAAGCAGAACAUUUCUGUCUCGAUAUUGGCUAAAAAUACCAAAUUAUUCCAAUUUUUAAACCUCUGUAAUAUUUUUCCUCCAAUUACGUUCUCCAUAACAUCGUACCUUCAAAGCAAUUAGACUGGAAGGCUACAUUAUUAUAGCCGAUUUUCAGAUUUUUUGCUUCCUUUUAAAAAAUGCAUAUUUUGCAAAUGAAAAAAACUAGAUCCGACGCCAGUACGCAACUGGUACUUAAUUCAUCGACUCCGAAAGGCAAAGACGACCUCGGCGGAAUUUGAACGCAGAAAAACAAUAAGCAAAACAGUUCAACUGAAGAUUAUGCUCCUCUCUAACACACUAAUAUAAAUAAUCCACUAAAGUUGGGAAAUUUAAUAUCUCAUUUGCCACUGUGAUUUUCAAUUUAAGUUGAGGAAUGUUAUCAGAUCACUCCAAAAAUCUUUUCCGUGUUCUUAACUUCAACAUUAAGAUUGGUUUCAAAUUUUGAGAUAAGGCUAGGGGUGAGGUUAAAUCGAUGACAUUGAACCAAGUGAUUAACUGUUACUUAUUAUUUUAUUGACCCCUGAAGGACGAAAGGCAAAGUCGACCUCGGCAGAAUUUGAACUCGGAACGUAAAUACGGACGAAAUGUCGCUAAGCAUUUUGCCAGGCAUGCAAAAGAUUCUGCCAGCUCACCGAUGCCUUAACUUUCUAUAUAAAUAUUGAUAACGUGACGAAAUAAUAGAGGUUAUGCUUCAAAGGAACAGCUUUCUCCUCUGGCAAGUUGCAGUAGAUCUUCUGUUAUUUGAAACUGGAAGUCCCUAAAUCUGGGAGGUCCGAGAAAUUCCUAUUUCUUCCUAAAUUCACUUUCACUCGAUACGGAGUUUAAGCCUUUCUUUCCAGAAUAACUCAUAGAAUUGGACUGUAAACUUCGUUUUUUGUGUAAUGCAGUCAGUAACCUUUUUAUGAUUUUCUACUCACAGACUCCGCUAUAUUCUAUGAUAUUCCAUUGAAGAUGUUCAGAGUAAUAAAGCAGGAAUUUAUUGUUUGACACGAUCCUGCCAGACAUUUUUGUUAUUCUAGAGAUUGUUUCUUCGCAUGGAAAUAACUCCUCUUCUUUUUCCUUUUCCGUUCUUUCUUCAGUAUAUACAGUAGUCAAUUUGACUUCAUUAAAAAUAAGUUUGCUUAUUCUUUAUUAAUCCUUAUUUCCAUACUUACUUCCAGUGAAACGAGAAAUAUAAUUUUAAAAUAAAAAUAACGAAUUUAUUAUUAAUAACAAACUGCGGAUAUUUUCGGUUUGAACGGCAGUUUUUUUCUAGCGGUGUCAUAUGAAAUUGUCACCCAUAAUUAUGCAUUUCAAUCUGUUUUAGGGUUAGGGUUAGGGGUGGGGGUGGGGGGUAAGGUAUCUUUUUUCUUCACAAAUGUAAAUAAAUCCAAUCUGUUUCUUAAACGAGGGACAUAUUCAUACGGCACAGAAUGUUUUUUUUUUUUACCUCAAUGGACGUCAGUGAUUGGUUGAAAUUGCAGAAAUUGAAAAAAACCCCCCAAAUAUCUUACAAACUACAGAAUUUUCUCAAUAAAGCCAAGAGAAAAAACUGUUUUAUAAACACAUUCUACCAGUAUACGAAGUUUAAAAUUUUUUAGUUACCUAGAAAUUAUGUUAAAAACUGCCGUUCAAACCGAAAAGAUCCCAAACUGCUGUUUUCUCAUGAUGAAACACCAUCGAUUUAAAGAGCUCUUCUCCAUCUGAACAACUGACAAAAGACAAAGACACUUUCAGAUUUGGUGAUUCAAGGAAAGUCACUCUCUAAAGAAUCUUAAUAAACAAGUCAGCAGGAAUUUGUCUAUAUUAUUUUAACUUUUCUUUUAACUCAAUAUUUUCUUUUUAGAUCUGAAUGUCUUAUAUAAACAAUAAGAAGAAACAACAUCGGCAGCCACACAAUGAUUCCUUCCUUGUGUUUUAUCUCAGAAUCCUCCUACUCUUUCUCUUCCUCUUGUGUCUCAGUGUUCAAUAAAGCUGACAGGACGAACCGAAAUAUUAGUGUGCGCGCGCCUAUGAGAGUACGUUAAAGAUAUGUAUACACACAUGGAAGGCGGCGAGCUGGCAGAAACGUUAGCACGCCGGGCGAAAUGCGUAGCCGUAUUUCGUCUGCCGUUACGUUCUGAGUUCAAAUUCCGCCACAGUCGACUUUGCCUUUCAUCCUUUCGGGGUCGAUAAAUUAAGUAGCAGUUACGCACUGGGGUCGAUGUAAUCGACUUAAUCCGUUUGUCUGUCCUUGUUUGUCCCCUCUGUGUUUAGCCCCUUGUGGGUAAUAAAGAAAUAGAUAUGUAUACACACAAGGCGGCGAGCUGGCAGAACCGUGAGAGCGCCGGGCGAAAUGCGUAGCCGUAUUUCGUCUGCCGUUACGUUCUGAGUUCAAAUUCCGCCGAGGUCGACUUUGCCUUUCAUCCUUCUGGGGUCGAUAAAUUAAGUACCAGUUACGCACUGGGGUCGAUGUAAUCGACUUAAUCCGUUUGUCUACCUUGUUUGUCCCCUCUAUGUUUAGCCACUUAUGGGUAAUAAAGAAACAGAUAUGCAUACACACCCACCCACAUAUAUACAUAAUACAUUCGUGUGUAUGCGUGUGUGUGUGUAUAAUAUUUAAUGUAAAUAUGUAUAUAUCUAUUAUAUUUAUGUAAAUGUACGUUUUACACAGAUUCAUACAGGUAUGUAUAUUAUAUAUAUAUAUAUAAUAUAUGUGUUUAUAUUUUAUACACAAAAUAGGUAUGUGUAUAUAUAUAUAUAUAUAUAUAUAUAUAUGUAUACACGUGUGUGUAUAUAUAUGUAUGCAUGCAUAUGCAUGCAUGUAUGUCAGAUGAUAUUCUAAGUAGCUGACCGAAUAGAACUGAAUCAGCAGGCAAUCAUGUCAAUCUGGUCGCUAUCAAACACAAACCUUGACUGUGACUUAGUAGUAGGCCAGUUGCUGGCCUACUUCAUUCUUAUUAUUAUGUACAGGUAGUAAGGAAAUAUAAACAAGCUCAUUAUUUCAAAUAGAAACCCCACUCUUUAAUACCCAAUGGAGCGUACUAACAUCGUCCAAAUGACGCCGCUUAAUAUGUGGAGCUCUUAGAGUUCAAACGACGACAUUCAUAAGGUCACGCACACGCGCAUAUACAAACAUACGUACAUGCAUGGAUACAUACAUAUACAUACAUGUAAAUAUAUAUAAAUAUAUGUAUAUUUACUUCAAAAAGAAGUCUCACUAUGAGCAAACACACACACGCACACACAUAUAUAUAUGCUCAAAGUGAGACUUCUUUUGAAAGAGUUCUUUUCUCCCUGCACAGACUGUCUCAAAGAAAACUAGUUGAUCUUUUCUUCCCAGUCGUAUAGAGCUCGCUAUGAAGUGGACACGUGAAAAACAGGGAGUAAAAUACGAUAGAAUUAAAUAUAAAUAAGUGUAAAAGAGAUGAACAAAUAAAUAAUAAAUCUAAAGGGGAAAUGUCCGCUCUGACCCAAAGUUGCAAAGUGUACUUAAAGCAAGUUAUUCUUAUAUUCAAGAUUUGUUGAAUAAAAACAUCCUUAAUCUUUAAUUUCACCGAAUUCUUCCAUUCGAUAGUUGUUUUUAAGUAUUAGAUGACAAAAAUAUAUAUUUACACUGAAAUACCAGCUAACACAGAUUUUCCGCAAAUUGUCAACAAUUAAAUUUUCAUUAUCUGGUUUAGAGAAAAUAUAUAUCCAUUUAUUAUUGUCUUUUUUUGUUUUGUUUUGGUUCUUUCGCAUAGUUCCACAUGAUGCCUUCUUCUGUUUUAUUCUACUGUUUUAUUUUCUGGGGAUGACUCCCACACUCCUUAAAACACUUCUUUUCUCACAGUUUGCACCUACUUUGCUUGAAAAUCAGAAUGAAGUGAUGACUAAGGGAGAACCCGACGCCAUUUCUGUCUUCGAACAUACGUAUGUCUAUAUACAUACACAAAAAAAUACAUACUUAUAUGUCUAUAUGUACUUAUAUGUGUGUGUACGCUAAAUGUGCGUGCGCUAUGAGUAUAUUUGUUCGUUUGCAAAUUGGUGGGUGGAUAUAAGUCUGUGUAUGUAUAGGUAUACGAAACACACAAGCGUACCUACACGCGCACACAAACACACUUUUUUAGGGCUGCCAGUCGCUGUGGAGCCAGGCGCCAGCUUUAUCCGCAUGGCUCCAAUAACACAAACAUUUGCACGCAUGGUUUGACAGUUAGUGAGGUUGGGGACAGCAGCUGUGGCGGCGAAUGAGCUCCAGGAAAUGCCGCCAUCCUUGAUGUGUGGGUGUACUAGAGUUGUGUGUGUGUGUGUGUGAGUGAGUGUGUGUGUGUGUGUGUGUGCGUGUGUGUCUCGCUGUUUUAAUCUCAACCUCGACUGGGGCCUCAACGUCUGCUAUGAGAGGUAAUGGACACAGCAGUGGGAGUGUUUGCUUACUGUCCCCUCAAAUCGUGAUUAUGGAAGCGAUAUGUGACCUAGCCCCUAGACGUCAGCGAAUACAUUUAAGUACAUCUUUCUCUAUCUUUCCUCCCUCGCUCUUUCCUUCUCUCAUUCAUUCCCUCUCUAUUUCUCUCUCUUCCUCCCUCCCUUCCUCUUUCUAUCUCUGUCUGUCUCUCUCUCCGUCUUAACAUUGCUAUUUAUUUUCUAUGAUGAUUGCACCAACAACACUACAAUAACUGCAACUUUCUUCAAAUAAUAUUCACAGCGCUGACUGCGUUUUUUGUCUAUUUUUGUUUUAUUUGACGGGAAAAAACUUUACUUAUGAAGGAAGGAGAGAGCGAAGAAAAAGCAAUUGAAGGAAUGAAGAAGGAAUAAAUAUCCCCAAAGUUCGUGUAUCUAAAAUAUAAUUUCUUCUCUAAUGGCGGCGAUGUGUGUUAUUUAUCCAAAUUACCCUGCAGAGUAUUAUGUAAUGAAUUCAAGAGUUUAUCCCAUAAUUUCUUGUUUUAAAGAAACCUCUUCUGUGUUUUCUUAGUAUAUCUUCAAUUUUUCACUUCAGUUCAUAUCUUCAAAGUAUUUUGUGUAUGGUUCCUCUAAACAUUUCGUUAACGACCACACACACACAUACACACACACACACGCACGCACGCAUGCACGCACACGCACACAUCUAUGUGUAUGCACCCCACUCGAUUUGUACAUUCAAAUACAUAGGUGUACGCAAUCUACCAUCGUGCGUUUACAUCUACAUACAUCAACAAACAAGCAUGUGUGUGUGUGUGUCUAUGUCUGAAUCCACACACAUAUUCACACACGUGACGUGUAUGCACAGGAACACAUAUACACACACACAUUGCUGUUGUUUUUAUUUUUCCCCUUAUACUAAUUUGUAAUUUAAUAGUUUUCUGUUUCCUUGAAGCUGCUGCGUGGGAAGAAAGAGUCGGAAGACGGCAGGGAAGAUAGUUAAAUCGAAAUAUUAGUAAAAGUCUGUUAUGACAUCGGUCAGAUAUCAAAUGUAGCCAACAUAAUCCAUCACCUUUCACUAUUAAACUAGGUUAAUAUGCAAACUAAAUCCCUCCAACUCUGAUUUAUUUAAGCUUUAUUUGAUGUUUUUAAUUAAUUAAGAUAAGAGCAAUCAGUUUUGUUGUCUGAUAAGUUUUAGUGUAUUUACUGUCUUAGUGCAGACCCAGUAAAGCACCGAACUAAAUCGUUUAUUAGUAGCAUUUAGUUUCAUCCUUCUUCGUUCAAGCUGAAAACCUUCCAGGUCCAACUCCUCCUCCUCCUCCUUUCAGUUAUUCAGGGUCGAAAAAAUAAGAGUUAUUGGCACGCCAUAAUAACUGGAAUCAGAUUAAUAAUUUCCUUUUAUUUUUUGGAAAGAGAACGCGCAAUUCUUUUGACACUUCCAGUACUGAUUUUCAACUUAAAGGUAUGGAGGUCGGAUUGCAUUUGGGAAGGAACGAGUGAAAACAGUAUUUUCUUGCAACGUCAGUGAGAUCAAUAGAAGAAAAGGCAGAUAUGCCCGGAUGGCGAGACCAUGCAUCUAACUUGCUGAAAAGAGCAGGUGUUGUGGCGAUAGAAGCCAUGAGAGGAAAUAGCACGUCUGUGACUUAAAAUUAGUUUAAUGACGUCUUAGAUACUGUCAAAUGAAUUUCUGUAUUGCAAUGCCAUAUUAUCAAAGUGAGAUCUCUAUUGAGCGUCUUUCUAGAAUCUAGUAUUGUAGCUUAACCCUUUUGUUACCAUAUUUAUUCUGAGAUGCUCUGUGUUUCUUUCAAUUGAUUUUAAAUAUAACAAAGAAUUUAGUAAAAUAACUUAGUUAUCAUUAAGCUAAUGUUAGGAACAUAAAUUGUGAUUAAGGUUUGGUGGAAGAUUCUAAUUCAAAACUUAUGAAAACAAGACAUUUGUACUACAGAGCCAGGGGCGGUUUCAGGCGGGUUGGUAUCGAAAGGGUG